rnacentral:rRNA from 1 species
AGUGAACGCUGGCGGUAGGCCUAACACAUGCAAGUCGAACGGCAGCACAGGAGAGCUUGCUCUCUGGGUGGCGAGUGGCGGACGGGUGAGGAAUACAUCGGAAUCUACUCUGUCGUGGGGGAUAACGUAGGGAAACUUACGCUAAUACCGCAUACGACCUACGGGUGAAAGCAGGGGACCUUCGGGCCUUGCGCGAUUGAAUGAGCCGGUGUCGGAUUAGCUAGUUGGCGGGGUAAAGGCCCACCAAGGCGACGAUCCGUAGCUGGUCUGAGGGGAUGAUCAGCCACACUGGAACUGGAACACGGGCCAGUGUCCUACGGGAGGCAGCAGUGGGGAGUAUUGGACAAUGGGCGCAAGCCUGAUCCAGCCAUACCGCGUGGGUGAAGAAGGCCUUCGGGUUGUAAAGCCCUUUUGUUGGGAAAGAAAUCCAGCUGGCUAAUACCCGGUUGGGAUGACGGUACCCAAAGAAUAAGCACCGGCUAACUUCGUGCCAGCCGCCGCGGUAA